CCUACGGGAGGCAGCAGUGGGGAAUAUUGGACAAUGGGCGAAAGCCUGAUCCAGCAAUGCCGCGUGAGUGAUGAAGGCCUUCGGGUCGUAAAGCUCUUUUACCAGGGAUGAUAAUGACAGUACCUGGAGAAUAAGCUCCGGCUAACUCCGUGCCAGCAGCCGCGGUAAUACGGAGGGAGCUAGCGUUGUUCGGAAUUACUGGGCGUAAAGAGUACGUAGGCGGUUAUUCAAGUCAGAGGUGAAAGCCCGGGGCUCAACCCCGGAACUGCCUUUGAAACUAGAUAACUAGAGUCUUGGAGAGGUUAGUGGAAUUCCGAGUGUAGAGGUGAAAUUCGUAGAUAUUCGGAAGAACACCAGUGGCGAAGGCGACUAACUGGACAAGUACUGACGCUGAGGUACGAAAGCGUGGGGAGCAAACAGGAUUAGAUACCCUGGUAGUCCACGCCGUAAACGAUGAUAACUAGUUGUUCGGUCACUUGGUGACUGAGUGACGCAGCUAACGCAUUAAGUUAUCCGCCUGGGGAUACGGUCGCAAGNUUAAAACUCAAAGGAUUGACGG
rnacentral:rRNA from 1 species